GGGGGUUCAAUUUACCAUGGGGGUUAAAUUUUCCAUACAGGGGGGGGUUCAAUUUACCAUGGGGGUAUUUUGACCCUGGGGUCAUUUUACCAUGGGGUUCAAAAUACCAUAUGACACCGGCAUAAAGAUUUGAACUCCUUGAAGGCUAGGUCCCAACAUAUGUCAUGGUGAAUGUGAUUGAAAAUUCUUGUUGUAUUCUUGAAAGAGAUUUUGACACAAAGUUGGCUCGAUCUUACAUGAUAUGAUCCAAAACAUAACAGGUA
rnacentral:lncRNA from 1 species